rnacentral:lncRNA from 10 species
CUCUGACUCACCUCAUCUCCAUAUUCAAACUAGUUUCUCAUACUAAGAUGCCCAUUUAUAAUAAUGGUACUAUGAUUCUUCAACUUACUUUUGCUUUAAAAAAAUCUUAAAUUAUCCUUGACUACUUUCUUCUAAUUCACCCCACCCGUCUUCCUUACAAUCUCAUAUUACAGUUAUCUUUAUUGUUUCUUAUUCCUCAUAUUUUAAGCAUUAUGAAUACAACCAUGUAUUACUCCUCUGUAUUACCUGCAGAAACAAGCAUAUUGUCUUAGAUACAGCAGAUUUUCAACAAGUAGAUAAAAUUUGAUUUGCUUAUGAUAUGGUUUGGCUGUGUCCCCACCCAAAUCUCACCUUGAAUUGUAAUUAUCCUCACGUGUCAAGGGUGGGGCCAGGUGAAGAUAACUGAAUCAUGGGGGCAGCUUCUCCCAUACUAUGCUCGUGGUAGUGAAUAAGUCUCAUGAGAUGUGAUGGUUUUA